ACUCCCCCAAGGAGACCGGCUUCAUCCAGAGCAUCACUAAAACAGUGUUUCCCGAGUCUAUAAAUAUCUCAGCUGAGAAUUGAGCCUACUACUAAAAGAACCGCGCUUCUAGAGCAGAUGAAAAUACGCCAAAUCCCAAAAGCUUAAUACUCAAGAACAAAUGUCAGCAUGCGUACAGAAUGGGAAACCUCCCUGUCUAAUUACAAUGAAGGGCAACGUGGUAGAGCUCUUCCAUUUUACAGAGAAAGUGAACGAGGGAACCAGGUGAAGAAUACCCUGCUGGCAUCUCCUCCCAAACAAAGGAGUGAAGAUCCCUCUCUGGUGGCUGUUGUGACUUCACUUGUGGCAGCAUGACAUCAGGAGAGAGGCGGUUUCUUGUAUUACCAGAGUCCAAGCUUCACUACGUGGUCUGGACCCAUGAGGCAGCCAGUGAACAUACUGGGAGCACUCAUACUCAAAAAAGUGCACUGCAUAGUUACUAGGUUGCCUUAUUUUGUAUCAGCCUCCAGCUUUAUUUUGAGAGAGGAAGCAGAAGGACGUUGUCUCUGUGCUCAUUCUCUCACUUCUUUAUUAUCUCCCUGUAGAGGGACCUGUAAUGUAACCCUGAUGUGACUAAGACAUAAACAUGACAACAAGAUCCAUCGCAACACGGGUAGUUACACCAUACUUUGAGUGGUUUUUAGUCACGCAGUCCUUACCAUGACCACAAGGCUGUUUAACUGCAGAUGGCUCAUCAGAGAAACCGAUAAAAUCUGUGCCACAUUUCUGGUUACUUCCCCUGCGUACCAACUCUUUUCUAAUUGUAAGGCGUGCAAGGAACCAGUUGCUUUGACAUGGUGCAAAAUAGCACUUGACUGCAGCCUUUGCUUAAGAGGGAGCUGCAGGGUUCAUCCUGUGUGUACUCUCCCACAACUUUUUGGUUGCCUCAAAAGCACAGUACCUUAUCAGAACCAUUUAAGUGAAAUGCAUAUGACUUCCUUUGGGAGAGAGAAGUAAUUAUCCAAAACUACCUUGUAAGAUUUCUCCAAGAGAAAGUAGCCAUUUAAGAAUGCUGACUUCUGUAAGCAAGAUAACAAUGUGCUCUUGACAAAGACAGCAGCAAUAAUAAAAUCAUCAAGGAUAUGCAAUAAUUAUGUAU